ACUGUCUGACAGAGCAGACAGUGCCUGAGGAUGGUCUUGUUAAAAGGUCCAACAACGGGCAGGGCUGCCUGCUAUUUCCCAGUGUAAAUGGAGCCUGCUGAAUCUUUCUAUCCACACCAACUCUGCAGAACGCGUGUGGGCAUGGCUGGACUGAUUCAGAGCACGGCAGAUAGUUAGCUCGGAAGCAGAGCUGUUCACAGGAGCACCGAAUCGCCCUUCCUAAGGAACUGCUCCUGUAGGGAAGCAGCUCAACGGGGCUGAAGAGACAAGAAUAGAAGAAAAAGCAAGUUGAGGGUCUGACAAAGGGAAAAAGAUGGAUGACUGCUAGAUCAGCAUGUGGCCUGCCAAGAAAAUAAAAAGACACUCAGGAACUGGAAUGAGGUACCAUUUUUCUAUACAUCAACCAACUAGGGAAUGUUCUACCACAACUUCACACCAGGAAGUUUUGACUUGGAGUCUUCACACAAAGAUAUACCUGAAUACAUUCUUUUUUACCUCUCUUGAGAACUCCUCUUUUCCUACCUCUA